rnacentral:tRNA from 1 species
UGCAUCGGCCGGGAAUUGAACCCAGGCCGCCCGCGUGGCAGGCGAGCAUUCUACCACUGAACCACCGAUGG